AUUUACAAACUUUCAAAUAUAAUUAUGUUUAACAUAAAAUUUCACCCUUUUUCUAACACAUUUAUGUGUUUAUCACAGUAGCUGUGCCUAGGAUUGCCCUGACCCAGGUAUAGGACCUUGAACCAUGGUUCAACUUCAUAAGGUUGGCAUCAGCCCACCACUCAAGCAUGUCAAGUGUGGGGAGUGAAGGUGAUAAGAUUUGCAUGAAAAAGAGUUUGGGAAUGAGCUCUGAGGCCUUGGUGCUUUGACAAGCCCUGGGGUGAUGAGUUGGAACUUGAAGGACAGGGAAGGUAAACAAGCAAGCCUUGGGAGGAUGGGCCAGGAUAAUGUAGUUGUGGUGGGAAUCUCAGUUGGAGGCCAGAGGAUGUGGGGGUUGUGAGAGGUUCUGCAACACUGUGAUUGGACUGUUUACUUGGAGAGUUUUACAGGGGCCAAAGAGAUUGAAUGUUGUAUGUAUGUGCAGGUUGGGAAAAUACCGAACAAGGGGAUAAAAAGGGCUUGGUGAUAAUAAACUAGGAUUUGAGUCUCUGCAUCACCUUGAGUCUGUGUCGUGAAAUGCCACAGUCAAGAUCCCUCUGGAUAGCAUUCCUUCCCUCCAGUGUAUCAACUGAACCACACAGCAUGGUGUCAUUGGCAAACUUGCUGAGGGUGCACUCAGUCCUUCUGUCCAUGUCACUGACAAAGAUGUUGAACAGGAUCGGUCCCAACACUCAGCCCUGAGGAAUACCACUCGUUACUGUUCUCCGAUUGGACAUUGAGCUGUUGACCACAACUCUUCAUGCAGCCAUCCAGCCAGUUCUUUAUCCGCCAAAUGGUCCAUCCAUCAAAUUGAUGUCUCUCCAGAUUAGAGAGAAGGCUGUUAUGUGGGACAGUGCCUAAUGCUUUGCAUCAGUCCAGCAUGUCUAAAAUCUGGCCUGGUGGGGAAGAGGUGUGCAUGGACAGGCUAAAAUGUUACCAAGUUCCAAACAUGAUGCCAGCCAUCAGAUCAACAGGAGCCUUUCAAUAACAGAGGGGAGAUUGGAUGGGAGCUUUAGGAAGAAGAAUCUUCCACCAAAGUCACAGAAAACACAAAUAGCCCAACAGCAAGUAUUAUACCUAGGAUAUGAGGUGACCACAAGACAAUGGACUUUGGGAGCUGCAAGAAAAGAGACCAUCUGCCAGACUCCACAGCCACAGACCGUCAAAGAGCUUCACACAUUCCUAGAUCUCUUUCAGAAUCACCUCUAGAACCGAAGUGGGAAGGUCUGUUGGAAGUGCUGCUGACUUCUCAUAUGGCAGUUAAGAUUAAAAAGCAAGCACCGUGGAUUCAUCAUACCAGAAUAAAGAAAGCCCCUAAGCCACAACGAGAAACAACACCUACUGGACCUCUGAAACUUCGAAUUUGACAAAAUGACUGUAUUUUGCAUAAUAAGAAUACAGCCUUGGAAUCAAAAUCUAUAUUUGAGAUUGAUACAGAAUGUAACCAGAGUUAUAAAUAUGAGUGAUUGCUGAAUCUGUACUCAGCUGCCUAAAUCAGGAGAAAAGCCAGGUAUUCCUUUAAUUGGCUUCCCUAUCCCCUUUAAAAAACAAUUGAAAAUCUGGAAACAAACUAAGUGAUCCCCCUCACACCAGGCACCGCAAUAAACAUACCUGCUUCAUAACUCUUUGUGAGUUAUGAAGUUCUAUUCCGCAAAUCAGCAUAAGACAUUCAACUAAACUGUUAACAGGAAUAAAACUAAAAGUUUUGCUUGGGAUGCAGACUGGAAUUAUGGCUUCAGCUCUUGCCACCUCUAAUUCCUUUGGUGUAAAUCCACACCCUUCCCACUGACCUGAGCACAAGUAGCCAAUCUUACCAAAACAAACAGCAGAUCCUGACAAACUUUUAUGACAACAUACCACAUGAAUUUUAAAACAGAACACAUGCUUUUUAAAAUCUCUCAGUGUAUUGCAGUUCUACUAGUGUGACAUUUUGUUUUCUAAGUAUGUCUAAACACAUGAAACAGAGUUCAAAAUUAAAAAAUAAAAUAAAAAUAUAAUUGCUUAAACCCAUUAAUAAUUUUUAC
ensembl:lncRNA